rnacentral:lncRNA from 1 species
CCUUCUAUUUUCUGUUUUUCUUUUUAUUGUAUCACCGCUCUUCUAUCGUUCGAUUUCUUGUCCCAUUUUACCCCUGUUUUUCUUUCCACAAACUUCUUUCUGUUCUCUUUCUUCUCUUCUCCAUUCUGUUCACAAUUCUGAUCAUAUACUUGUUCCUCUUCACUACAAUCCGCGUAUUAACUGACAUACACUCAGUUUUGCAUUUCGACGUAUAUACUCAGGUACAACCGCACGUGCUAUCAUCCUUCCUCUACGUUUCUUAAACUGGCACACGCGCACUUUAUUCAUUUAUUUAUUUCGCCGUUUUCUCGCGUUGCCUACAAAUUGUGUAGUCAGUCACAACUGUAUUGACAGUUCAUUCAUUCCCAUACAUACAUACAUAAGUAUAACACCGUACAUAUAUGUACAUACAUAUUUAUACACACAUUCUUAUGGACAAUUAUAAACAACAAAUGCUCAUGUAAUAUCAUCACUCGCAUAAGUACCUAAUACACGUAAAGUACUUACUACACACAAUCCAACGUACGGCUUGUAUAUUUGCCUCUCAUUCCGUCAUUAACAACACGCCCACUUUCAUUCUCUUCAACCAAACACACAUGCUUCCUUUAUUUUCGAUUUGGAUCUGUAGUCUUCACAUAUUGACUUUCUUCAUCUUCCUUUUCCCGUUCGCUCACUUCUAACCUUACUUUCUCUUCCCUUCUUCCUAUCCACUUUACUCACCUAGUAUUUUCCAUGCUGUUUAGACACAGCUUUUUGUCUUUCGUAACCGGCAACUACCUAGGAGAGAUACUUACCUUUACAACCAUGUAAGUAGAUACAACUGUCUGGUUUCGUAUUAUUCACCCAACCCACUCUUUACUACUAAACUAGUUCUAUAAAACAACAUAAGAGAUUUCGUUACGUCAGUUUACCGUAUCAAACUACAAUCCUACAGAUAUUGUCACUUCCUUAGACAUCAUCUCUUCUGUUUAUUUGAAUUUAUCAAACGCAGGAUUCACUUGUUGAAGAAAGGGUUAAUUCCAAGUUCCUCCACAGAUACAUUUUGUUCGACAUAUUUCUGGUUGAGUUGUAACUAUAUUUGCAACAAACCUGUUAUAUCAUGUUUACUUUGCAUUUUAUUUACCCUAUUCUUCAUUAGACUUCUUUUCCUAUGUGAUGUUAUCAAAGAUGUUUUAAUUGUUUAGUUGGAAGGUAGAUUAUUCUACCGUAGUUUAACAAAUUCUUUGUAUAUGAUUAAAAGGAAAUAUAAGUUGCAGGAGAUCUUUAAAUGUUUCUGCCUUCUAAGCUGGUGAUGGCUACUCUUACUGUUAAUGACAGAUGUGUACCGGAAAACAGGAGUAAUAUGAACAUGUCAUGGUAGUUGAUGUGAUUGAGGGGAGAUGUGACAAGUGAGUGAGCUAUGACGAUGUAAGGGAAGAGAUAUAUGGAUGGCGAAAUGAGAUAAUAACACACAUGCACGCGCACAUGCAUAUGAGAAAGAAAGAAAUGACAACAGAAUUGUGCCAUGUCAAAAGGAGUUUAGUUCUCGGAAAUCCUUUUGUGCUUUACUUUCACUGCCUUUUAUUAAUUUAUAUAUAUAUACACAAACAUUGAUGGAUACAGGCACAUGUAUUUCAGGGAUGAGUAUUACAGAUUUAUUUGUAAAUAAAUUACAGACUUGCCUGCAUUUGUACCCACAAACAUACAUUGCAAAUUAAGAUUAUUUUGAAAAUUAUACUAAUUGUGUGUGGGGGGGGGUGUGAGUAAUAUUAAAGCAGUCUUCUUUUCCAAUGAUAUUUUCAUUAUAACCAUCAGUGUUUGCUCAUAUUCUCUCCUCUCUUUCUUUCUCUCUCUAUCUUUCUAUCUCAUACACACAUGUAUGUAUAUACACCUAGAGAGAGAAAGUGAGAGAGAGAGAGAAAGAUACAUAAAUACUUUGUUCCCACAACAGUUUUUACCCUGAGCUUAUGCAGUAGUUCUGCAAUGUUUGAUAGAUGCAGUGUGUUUCAGAAUCUGACCGAUCAGUUUAUUGGUUCACCUUUCCUCAUGUAUAAUUGAUUAUUUCACUUCUGAAUGUGUACAUGGUAGUUGAAGACUGUUUAGUAUAACAUGAUGUUUUUUAAAGCUUAACACUCAGAUUAGGUACUUGACGCUUGCCUUAGUAGUGACAUUUAUUGUAGUUACAUGUAUUUCUAUCUUGCAUAUAUUCAAAGGAGGGACAGUGCAAUUUUCUUUUUUUCUACAUUUUUCUUGAAAAAGUAUAUAGGAAAAGAGAAGCUUAUAUUGAAUUUUUACAUAUACUAUUCCUGAAUAUUGUGUUUCGUUACUUGAAGAAGUUGAACUUUUUUCUCUGUUGACUAAACAGCAGAGUGCAGCCAGAAAGACAGAGAAAUACUUGAUGCAUAAAGAUCACUCAAUAUAAUAUAGAGAGACUGCACUCUCAACAUAAGUAUUAAACUGAAACUUCCUAAAGUCCUAGUCUGGCCAUUAGCACUGUAUGAAUGUAAAGCAUGGGCCCUCAGAGUGACUAACACUAGAAUGAAUAAGCAUACUUGCAAUGACGUGCUGUAAGCAAAUACUAUGGAUCAGUUGGAUGGUUCGUUGAAUGAAUGAUUUAAUCUUAGAGAAAAUGGGAAUGCAGGGACAGUUGGUAUCAUAGUCAAGUGUCAAAAAUUGCAAUAUUUUGGUCACAUAAUCAGGCCCAUAACUUCUGUGCCUUAGGAGAUGGGUGGAUGAAAACUGGACUUGUAAGAAACUCAAAUGAAAAGAGAGCAAUGGUAUGUACAGCUUCAAUGUGAUGAAGAGUGGUGGUCCAUAUCUAAGGCCCCUAAACCUCGGCCAUGAGAAGAGGAAUAUUCUAUACUAUAUGAUGCAUAUUUCACAGCUUCAUUCCCUUUUUAAUUUUUUUUUAUUUUUUAUAUAUCAUUAUCUUUGAUAUUCUUAUGCUAUAUUUCAUAUGCUUACUGUUGAUUCUUUCCUAUUUUUGUUUUUUCCUGUUAAUAUUGCUUCUGUAUCAUCUUCAGAUGUUGUGAUUAGAUUAUUCUUCUUGCUAUGGUUGUAUCAAGUGAUAGGUUUCAUAUUUCACCUAAAUUACAGACCCACCUCAUUGUAACCAGCAAUCGAUAACCUGAUUGUUGUUAUAUUCAUUCAAAUUAUGUAAGAUUCUGUCUCCUUGUGUAACACACCAUAUGCAGAAACAUACUGUAUGUGUGUGUUAAAUCAACACUUUUUUCAAGGUUCUUAUUCAAAUCUGAAAACAGAUGUCUUAAGAUGUUACCUAUCUACCACCUGCAAAAAUAAAAAAAAAAAAAACAAAGA